rnacentral:rRNA from 1 species
UACGAAGGGGGCUAGCGUUGCUCGGAAUCACUGGGCGUAAAGGGUGCGUAGGCGGGUCUUUAAGUCAGGGGUGAAAUCCUGGAGCUCAACUCCAGAACUGCCUUUGAUACUGAAGAUCUUGAGUUCGGGAGAGGUGAGUGGAACUGCGAGUGUAGAGGUGAAAUUCGUAGAUAUUGGGAAGAACACCAGUGGCGAAGGCGGCUAACUGGUCCAGUACUGACGCUGAGGUGCGAAAGCGUGGGGAGCAAACAGG